CCUACGGGUGGCAGCAGUGAGGAAUCUUCGUCAAUGGACGAGAGUCUGAACCAGCCACGCAGCGUGAAGGAUGACUGCCCUAUGGGUUUUAAACUUCUUUUAUAAAGGAAUAAAACGAGGCACGUGUGCCUUUUUGCAUGUACUUUAUGAAUAAGGAUCGGCUCACCUCGUGCCAGCAGCCGCGGUAAUACGGAGGAUCCGAGCGUUAUCCGGAUUUAUUGGGUUUAAAGGGAACGUAGAUGGGUUGUUAAGUCAGUUGUGAAAGUUCGCGGCUCAACCGUAAAAUUGCAAUUGAUACUGGCAGUCUUGAGUACAGUAGAGGUGGGCGGAAUUCGUGGUGUAGCGGUGAAAUGCGUAGAUAUCACGAAGAACCCCGAUGGCGAAGGCAGCUUACUAAACUGUAACUGACAUUGAGGCUCGAAAGUGUGGGUAUCAAACAGGAUUAGAUACCCUAGUAGUC
rnacentral:rRNA from 1 species